CGUAUAGCUGAAAUCGCUAGAGAUCCCAGUAAGAUCUGUACAGGUGAUAAGUGUGACGAUGCUGACGGGAGAUUCAGGAACAGACUCAAGCUGGAUCAUCAGACUGGAUCUCUGACCAUCAAAAACACCAGAAUCACAGACUCUGGAGUUUAUCAUCUUGAGAUCAUCGCCAACAGCACCAGCAUCCACCGUCAGCGCAGCAUCAGAAUUACCAGACUUGGUGGAGCUGGCUCUAAUGGGAUUGUGUAUUUUCUUGCUAUAGCCGGAGUAUGUGUUGGUGUUCUGCUGGUGGUAGCAGGUGUAACAGGAGAGUGGCGGAGAAUACUUGCCAGUGUAAAGAGAUUCUUCUGUCUCUCACCAAAUAAUCAAACAGCUGUCCUGUAAUUCCACAGCGGACCAAACAGUGUCAUUUAGAGUACAAUGUAAAAAAACAAAAA